UUCACUCCUUCCAAAUUACUCUCUCACUGUCACACUUCUCUCACCGCCACACUUCUCUACAGCGGCACUUCUCUGCCGUCUACAGCGGCACGUCUCCUCACAACUCUGUAAACUUCAGCUACUCACCAGAUUCAAAAUGGGAUAGGUGUUCUAAGGUAAUGUUUUCCACUUCUCACCUCUUUGAAUAAUGAACCUACCUCACAUUUUUGGAUUUUCUCAUCUGAAUCUUCACAAAUUGUACAAAUUACUGGUUGUAUUUACUAGAUAAGUUUAUUUUUUGGUUGUUUGUAUAGAUGCAUGGAGGUAGAAUUAGGUUAAUUUUGUUGUAUUCUUCAUGGAUGAAAAUUUUGAAAUAUCAAAUUUGAGCAUGUAUUUUGUGGUAGAAUUAGGUUUAUUUUGUUAUAAUUUUGGUGAUUCUACAGAUUCUUCGAGACAUUCUGUGUCUACAGAUUUUUUGGGACCACUUUGUCUCAAAUGGUGUCGCUAACAGGUGCCUUGUUUCUUCGUAAAAUUUGGAGUUGUCGUCUCCGUCGAUCCUUGUUUAAGCUGGAGUAAGGUGUAUAUAGUUUCCCUUUUUGUUUGUUAAUUAAUUCUUCUUUAGCUGUUACAUGUGCCCUCAAUCUUCACUUAUCUCUGUAUACUUGUAUUCAUACAUUAUAUUCUUAUUGAUUUGUAUCUUCAUUUUUUUCUUCUAAAUCACUAAUUUAUCAUUCUUCUAAAUUUGCAUGUCUUUGCUUAUUUGUUGUAUCUCUUCAAUCCAAUUGACUAUAUUCCAAGGUAGUUUGCAUUUAUCCACAAGUAUUCUUUGUAAAUAUAUUGAAUAUGGUUGGAUCAUGAUAUGAUCCAAAUGUUUGUUAUUACAAUGCUUGAUAGCUUCUAGGAUAGCCAGUGUCUCAGAUUAUUUUGGCCCUUACCAUAUCUGUAAUUCUGGCCAGGAGAAAGCAUAUCUAAAAGGUCAUAAACAGACUUCCUCUGUAGAAAAACAUCCCAUUUUGGACCAAAGUGUGUCCUACAUUGUUCCUGUAUUGUUUUAUAUAAACAAAUGUAUAAUCUUAUAGAAAAUGUUCCUUUGUUUAAUUUAUCAGGUCCGAUCCCUCUCCAAUAUUUGGAACUGAAAUUAACGAGAGAGCUUCUAGAUCUUCAAGGAUAAAGAAAGUUGAGGUACUCUUUCAUUUGCUUAGAUCACUAUAAUUUCUCAGUGGUUAGGCCUCUAGGGAAAUAGUUGAGGCCUCAAGUUCAUCUGAUGCUUAUGCUUAAAGUCAACUACAGUAGUAAUAAAUAGAGAUAAAUAGACAUUUGCUCUCAGAUACUGAAUGUUCUUGUUUAAUUUAUCAGGUCUGGCCCCUUUUCAAUAUUUGCUUUAUCUGGAACUGGAAUUAACGGGAGAGCUUCUAGAUCUUCAGGGAUAAAGAAAGUUGAGGUACUCUUUCCAUUUCUGCAUAUAAUGUUACAUAAAAAUUGUUAAAUAUGUCUGUAAUCUUAUAAUUUUCUCAUGAAAAUCUUAUAGGUGAUAUUGUCUGCUAAUCUUGUUUUUUUUUAUGGAUAAAUCUUGGAUUAGAAUGCCAAGGACCACAAAAGAAUAUUUGGUUGGCUUGAAUCAGUUCCUAGAAUUUGCAUUUAAAAAUGGAGCUAUAGAAGAUAGAAUAAAAUGUCCGUGUCCUCAAUGUUGUUUUGGCAAAUGGAAGACUAGAGAUAUAGUGUUUGAACAUUUGACUUGCAAGCCAUUUGAUCGCGUCUUUGAUCAAAUCAUAGUGGUAUAAACUCUAUAUUCUGACUACUAUACCUAUAUUCUUUUCUUGGACUUUUAUAUUUGGAUUUAAUAGAUAAGCUAACUAGUGUUUAUUCUUGAAGCCUUGAUUUUUUUCCGAGACAACCGACGAUAAGCUAACUAGUGCUUAUUCUGGAUCCACUGUGUUUUCUAGUGACAUAUCUAUUGAGAUUAGCUUCUUUAUUUCUGGCAAAGUUUUAUGGGCAAGGCAGCACUCAUGGUCUAGAACAUAUUUUCCAGGAUUGCUUCUGGAGCUUAGAAUGUGGAGUGUUGUUUGGUCUGAAUUAGGAAAAAAGAAUGUGGAAAUAUGAGUAUUUGUCUAUAGAACUUUGUGGAGUGUUGUUUGGUCUGGAUUAAUGCAAGAACAAGAUAAAAACUUGUGAUUCUUUUACUAUUAUGUGCAAUAAAGAAGUAGCAAGGUCCAGAACAUAUUUUUGCAUAUUCUUGUAUGUUAGUAUUGACCUAUUUGUUUAUGAUUGGCAUUUGUAUUGACAUUCAUAGUAGAGAAUUUAGUAUUUGUUUACAUACUGUUAUUGACAUACAAUAUGUAAGUAUUUUUUUUAUAAAUCACCAUAAUGGUUGGAUUAGGUUUCAGUCCUAAUCAUUUUAUUGCAUUCAAAAGAGGUUACAAAAGAAGGGUGAGAGCAUUUAUCAUAUUACUUAUUGUGUAUUUUUCUUUGUAGACAGAUGAUGCUAGUGACAGUAGUCGUAGUGACAAUCGUUGAAGUUCCAUGAAUAGUUGCAGGUCAUUUCUUGAGUAUGGAUGCUAGUGAACCCUUUUCAUCAAUAAAAGCAAGAUUAGCGAAUGACAGUUUUUGUAGUGAUUUGAAGUUUCUUGUAAUCGUAAUGGUUGAAGUGAAUGGUAUGUUUCAAUUUAGUUUGUAAAACUAAUAGUACACUUUAUGAUAUAUUUUUUUGUUGAAAUAUUUUGUUAUUUCUUAAUACUAAUAAGCCCUUUUAGGUUUGACUAUGAUGUACAUGUUAAUUAGUCAUUAAUAUUUAAAAUAGAUUUUUUCUAGC
rnacentral:lncRNA from 1 species